CAUACACACUACACAAACACAGUACACAUACUGCAUUACAUACACACUACACAGACACACACACUGCAUUACAUACACACUACACAAACACACACUACACAAACACACACUGCAUUACAUACAUACACACUACACAAACACACACACACUGCAUUACAUACACACACAAAAACACACUGCAUUAUACACACACACUACAUAAACACUGCAUUAUAUACACACACUCUGCAUCCACUACACACACACACACACACAAACACACACAGUUCCCCUGUCUAAACACACUUCAUCCACUACAUGUGGCAUGUAUAUUUUGUGCAUUUACCUUUCGAAUUAGUUUAUUUAUUCAAAAUAGUAAAUGUACAGAAUAUCGGCAAGAUAUCGGCUAUCGGCCUGAAAGUUCGCAGAUUAUCGGUAUCGGUAUCGGCUCUAAAAAAUCAAUAUCGGUCGAUCCCUAAGU